rnacentral:rRNA from 1 species
AAGUUUGAUCCUGGCUCAGGACGAACGCUGGCGGCGUGCUUAACACAUGCAAGUCGAACGAUGAAGCCUGCAACUUGUUGUGGGUGGAUUAGUGGCGAACGGGUGAGUAAUACGUGGGUAACCUGCCCUCCUUUUUGGGAUAAGCCUUGGAAACGGGGUCUAAUACCGAAUAUUCUGGCGCUCUCGCAUGGGGGUGUUGGGAAAGCUUUUGUGUGAAGGGGGAUGGGCUCGCGGCCUAUCAGCUUGUUGGUGGGGUGAUGGCCUACCAAGGCGGUGACGGGUAGCCGGCCUGAGAGGGUGACCGGCCACAUUGGGACUGAGAUACGGCCCAGACUCCUACGGGAGGCAGCAGUGGGGGAUAUUGCACAAUGGGCGAAAGCCUGAUGCAGCGACGCCGCGUGGGGGAUGAAGGCUUUCGGGUUGUAAACCUCUUUCGCUAUCGAAC